GACAGAGGGUGCAAACGUUGUUCGGAAUUACUGGGCGUAAAGCGCGUGUAGGCGGCUAAGUAAGUCAGGGGUGAAAUCCCGGGGCUCAACCCCGGAACUGCCCUUGAAACUGCUAAGCUAGAAUCUUGGAGAGGCGAGUGGAAUUCCGAGUGUAGAGGUGAAAUUCGUAGAUAUUCGGAAGAACACCAGUGGCGAAGGCGACUCGCUGGACAAGUAUUGACGCUGAGGUGCGAAAGCGUGGGGAGCAAACAGG
rnacentral:rRNA from 1 species